rnacentral:rRNA from 1 species
UACGAGGGGGGCUAGCGUUGUUCGGAAUUAUUGGGCGUAAAGGGCGCGUAGGCGGUUUGACAAGUCUGAUGUGAAAUCUAUGGGCUCAACCCAUAGCCUGCAUUAGAAACUGUCGGGCUUGAGUAUGGGAGAGGUGAGUGGAAUUUCCGGUGUAGCGGUGAAAUGCGUAGAUAUCGGAAGGAACACCUGUGGCGAAAGCGGCUCACUGGACCAUAACUGACGCUGAGGUGCGAAAGCGUGGGGAGCAAACAGG